rnacentral:rRNA from 1 species
GACGAACGCUGGCGGCGUGCUUAACACAUGCAAGUCGAGCGGUAAGGCCCUUUCGGGGGUACACGAGCGGCGAACGGGUGAGUAACACGUGGGUGACCUGCCCUCAGCUCUGGGAUAAGCCCGGGAAACUGGGUCUAAUACCGGAUAUGACUCCAUGACGCAUGUUGUGGGGUGGAAAGCCUUGUGCGGCUGAGGAUGGGCCCGCGGCCUAUCAGCUUGUUGGUGGGGUGAUGGCCUACCAAGGCGACGACGGGUAGCCGGCCUGAGAGGGCGACCGGCCACACUGGGACUGAGACACGGCCCAGACUCCUACGGGAGGCAGCAGUGGGGAAUCUUGCGCAAUGGGCGAAAGCCUGACGCAGCGACGCCGCGUGA